rnacentral:lncRNA from 1 species
AUGAACAAAACCACAAAAAUCCGGUCAUGCACUUGGAUAAGUCUUCAAUGGUCUUUGUGCAUACCCAGAAAAUUGAAGUCUUCUUUUCUUUUUUUUUUUUUUUUUUGCAUCAUAACAUUUGAUAAAAAUCUUUUGUUUUUUUUUUUUUUUUUUUUUUUUUGGUACCGGGGAUCAAACUCGAGUCAUUGUGCUCAAAGCAAUUCUAAGUAAAAAGAGAAAGUCUGGAGGUAUCUUAAUACCCAAA